GGGGCAGUGUAAACACAUGGAGGAGGAGAUGAGGGGCAGUGUAAACGUAUGGAGGAGGAGAUGAGAGGCAGUGUAGUGUGUGGAGGAGGGGAUGAGGGGCAGUGUGGUCUGUGGAGGAGGGGAUGAGGGGCAGUGUAGUGAGGGGAGGAGGGGAUGAGGGGCAGUGUAGUGAGUGGAGGAGGGGAUGAGGGGCAGUGUAGUGAGUGGAGGAGGGAAAGAGAGGCAGUGUAGUCUGUGGAGGAGGGGAUGAGGGGCAGUGUAGUCUGUGGAGGAACGGAUGAGAGGCAGUGUAGUCUGUGGAGGAGAAGAUGAGGGGCAGUGUGGUCUGUGGAGGAGGGGAUGAAGGGCAGUGUAGUGUG
ensembl:lncRNA